rnacentral:rRNA from 1 species
GGGGAAAAAUUAAUAAAAAAAAUAAUAAUAAAAAAAAUUUUAAAAUUAAAAAUAUUUAAUGGGGGAUAAAGUAUUUUUAAUAGAAAAAAUUUUUAUAUUUAUAGUUAAUUAGUAUUGUAAAAGAAUUUUGAAAUAAAAAUGAAAAUAAAUUUAAUAAAAAGUAAAUUUAAUUUAUUGUAUCUUGUGUAUCAGAGUUUAUUAAAAAUUUUUUAAAAUUUUAAAUUUCUCGAAUUUAAAAGAGUUAAUUAAUUAAUAAAGUUAUUGUAGCAUAAAUAUUUUAAAUAAUUAAUUAGAAAUGAAAUGUUAAUCGUUUUUAAAUAUAUCUAGUUUUUUAGAAAAAAAUUUAAUUUUUAAUUUAAUUAAAAAUUAAAUUAAAUAUUUAAUUUAAUUUUUAAUUAAAUUAAAUAAUUUAAGGGAUAAGCUUUAAAUUAAAAUUUUAUAAUUAGAAAUUUUAUUUAUUUAAAAAUUUUAUAAUUUAUAUUGUUAAUAAAUUUUAUUUUAUUAUAAAUAAUUUUAAAUAAUUUUAAAAUUUAAAAUUAAUUUAAUUUUUUAUAAAAAAAUUUAUAAAAAUAAAAAAUAUAAAGAAAUUAUGAUAAAAUUAGUAAAUAAAAUAUAAAUUAAAAGAAAAUAUUAUAUAAAAUUUAUUUUUAAGGAAUUCGGCAAAAAUUUAUAUUCACUUGUUUAUCAAAAACAUGUCUUUUUGAUAAUAAUUUAAAGUCUAAUCUGCCCACUGAUAAAAUAUUAAAGGGCUGCAGUAUUUUGACUGUACAAAGGUAGCAUAAUCAUUAGUCUCUUAAUUGGUGACUUGUAUGAAAGAUUGGAUGAGAUAUAAGCUGUCUUAAUUAUAAUUAAUUGAAUUUAAUUUUUUAAUUAAAAAGUUAAAAUAAUUUAAAAAGACGAGAAGACCCUAUAGAGUUUUAUAUUAAAUUAAAUUUAAAUUAUAUAUAAAUUUAUUAAUUAUAAAUUUAGUUUAAUAUUUUAUUGGGGUGAUAAAAAAAUAAGAAUAACUUUUUUUAAAAUUAACCAUAAAUAAAUGAUUUUUUGAUCCAGUUUUAUUGAUUAAAAGAAAAAAUUGCCUUAGGGAUAACAGCAUAAUUUUUUUUUUUAGUUCAUAUAAGAAAAAAAGUUUGCGACCUCGAUGUUGGAUUAAGAUAAAAUUUAAAUGCAAAAGUUUAAAAUUUUUGAUCUGUUCGAUCAUUAAAAUCUUACAUGAUCUGAGUUCAAACCGGUGUAAGCCAGGUUGGUUUCUAUCUUUUAAUAUUUUUAAUAUUUUAGUACGAAAGGAUUAAAUAUUAUAAUUAAAUUAAUUAUUAAGAAUUUUAUUAAUUUACUAAUAAAAAUAAUAAAUAAUAGUAUUUAUAAU